rnacentral:lncRNA from 1 species
AAGUUGUGUUCAAGUGAUACUCUGUGAAAGGUCAGAAUUGAUCAACCCAGGGAAUUGGUUGGGAAGGUGUCUAACCUUACUGUAGCCUUACUAGCAAGAGUUUUAAGGCAUAAAUGAAAGGGUAAACUCCCUAGAAUUUAUUUGGGCCCUUCCUAAAUGCCCUUCCAUAUAAUUUUUUUUUUUUUUAAUGGGAGAGGAGAAGGGAGGGCUUGGGUAAGAAUAACAAAGAUAUGAAUUCAUUAGCCAAAACAGAAGAAACUGUAGUUGAAACAUUAAUUCUCAAUUCCUGUAACAGCAGAUUGAUAGAUGAAGCAUAAAACAAGACCAGAUGCUGUGGUUUCCAGGAUGCACUUGGCUUCCCAUCCCUUAUAACCUGGAGCAUUUUUUGCUAGUUCAACUGGGCCUGUCUUCGUAGAAGACAUUUUUCAGGAAGCUAUUCUAGUCCAUGGAGGAGGUGACAUCUCCUGAACCUGGUCCCCACAGAGAAUUUUGAAUGGGAGGAAAAGGAGAUGGUGUGUAUUCUUGCUUAUGUCAUAAUGUUGGACACAUGACUUAAGAAUGUGGCAGGUCAAUGUGACUGGAUCAUUUCAUUACCGCACUUUAGAGUGACUCGGAGGCAAAUGCAGCUUGUUUAAACUCUUAACUGAAGCAUUGGUAUGAUGUAAGAUUAUAGCAGUAAAAGAUAUAAAAUGACUACUUAUUGGGGACAUCCUGAAGGACUGGGGGAAUCCUUAUUUUCUUAUCAUCUCUCAUCUUGCAGUUGUUGAUAGUAAUUCAUCAUGUCUCAAAUAACAGGGAAGGCAUCAGAGGUAGCAAUAAGGAGAAUACAACCAAAUAACAUAUAGGAUCUAAACUCAGUAAAAACAGCUAAUAGUGAUCACUUAUAUAGUGUUUACUAUGUGCCAGACUUGUUCUAGGUAAUAUAUGCAUAUAUCCUCACCUAAUUCUCAUAACAACCCUGUGAAGUAGGUACUGUGUUUUUUUUUUUUUUUUUUUUUACAUGAUUUAUUUUUGGCUGUGCUGGGUCUUCAUUGCUGCAU